rnacentral:misc_RNA from 1 species
CCUCCUUACGUAAAGGUGUCGAAUCAAGAUUGAUUCGGUGUUCACACAGAUUGUUUUGUUGUUUUAUUGUAGGUCGAACGUUAGUUCGACAAAGGGCCUUAAUGUUUAGUCCUUAGCUUCUUUUAAAGAGGUUUUAAGGGUAAAGAUUAAGGUUUUCGUCUCUCAGGAGAGGAAAUAUCCUUGAAAAUGUUCUUUAACAAUGUGGAAAAGCUGAUAAAUCAUCGAUGUUGUUGAUGCUUUGCAUCAAUAAUAUCAACCAAAGUAUUUAUAAAUUUAGGGUAAUUCAUAGCGUUUUACUCUAUCUGAUUAUAGGCGAGUUACGGUGUCAACCAGGCAACGUCUGUUUUAUGAGAAUGGCGACAUUCGAGUGAUACAGGGGUUGUAUGAUUAAGUGACUAAGCGUAUACGGUGGAUGCCU